rnacentral:rRNA from 1 species
UACGAAGGGGGCUAGCGUUGUUCGGAAUUACUGGGCGUAAAGCGCGUGUAGGCGGGUCUUUAAGUCAGGGGUGAAAUGCCAGGGCUCAACCUUGGAACUGCCUUUGAUACUGGAGACCUUGAGUCCGGGAGAGGUGAGUGGAAUUGCGAGUGUAGAGGUGAAAUUCGUAGAUAUUCGCAAGAACACCAGUGGCGAAGGCGGCGAUCUGGGCAGAUACUGACGCUGAGGUGCGAAAGCGUGGGGAGCAAACAGG